rnacentral:lncRNA from 1 species
GGGAGGUCUGAGUGGAAGGAACCUCAGUGGCUGUCCUCAAACUGCAUUACUCGUGUGUUCCUCUCGGAUGCGUGGCACCUGCUCUGGGGAAGGCCCUGCGCGGGGAGAGACACAGAAAUGCUACGGAGCCCAGCAGCCGAGAUCCGAGCACGGGCAGCCAGGGCGCAGCGGCCGCUCGGGGCUCACGGGACUGCCCACGCUGCCAGGGCCCGCAGGGUGCUUGUGUUUUUGUGACAUCUCCAUGUUUAUGGAAAAAGUGUUUUCCAAACUCAACUUGGUGCGUGCGACCUGUCCGCUGAGGAGUUGGGGAAACCGUCCUGUUCCGCUUCCUAGUGGUUGCACAAGUUGGAUGUUGCUGCUGUUUGACCUUGCGAGAGCCGAGGCUUGGCAAAGCGGGAAACCUGCUCUGAAUCCCGCAGUGAGUGACUUGUGGAGGCAGGACUUGAACCCAGCACUGACUCACAGCAGCUAUGAAACACCCACGCGUCUGCCUGCCCCUUAGAGAAAUCAUCGUGACACACAGUCGACUUUGACCCAGAACCACAGGCAGGCAGAAUUCACAAGGCAGUGAGAGGAUGCAAAACCCAAGUUCCCAGUGAACUUGAACUUGACUGGUGACAGCUCUUGUUUUUGGGCAAAUUAGUUGCUCCCACUAAGCAGCAAUGGCCUCUGCUGUGGGAAAGCAAGGCCGCUGACCUGUGUGCUGAUGCACAUCUGGUUGGAAACCUGCAUAAAGAGCCGUCCCCGCCCCUGGGCUCCAGAGCCUCCAGGCAUGCGUUCAGGCCAGGUCCCCGUCUGGGCGCACUCAGCCCGAGCUCGGCUGACCCGGUCUGUGUCGGGGUGCACACUCAGCCCGAGCUCGGCUGACCCGGUCUGUGUCGGGGUGCACACUCAGCCCGAGCUCGGCUGACCCGGUCUGUGUCGGGGCACACACAGCCCGAGCUCGGCUGACCCGGUCCCCAUCGGGGCACACACAGCCCAAGCUCGGCUGACCCGGUCUGUGUCAGGGUGCACACAGCCCAAGCUCGGCUGACCGGUCCCCAUUGGGGCACACUCAGCCCGAGCUCGGCUGACCUGGUCCACGUUGGGAUGUGCUCAGCCCGAGCUUGGCCCCUCUGCGCACCACAGAGCCGGCUCCCUGCUGCCUCGGAGGCACUGCGCCACCCGCCUGCCGUGAGCGGUGCCUGCAUGUCUAGUCUCGGAUCCCUCCUGUCAGGGCAGGCACAGCGCAGGACCCCCUUUGCCGCUGCGCACAUCUCUACACUUGGCUUUCCUGACCGGUGACGGACCGGAACAUGGUCUUUGUGCUCCCAGCCCGCCAUCCCCCCACAGCUUACACCAAGGCCCUGUUUGCAACGCCCUCUCUUCUCCUACUUGUUGCUUCUCUUCUGUGAUGGACAUUUUAUUGAUUGCUGUUUAUUAAGAAAUUUCAUAAACCAAGGCUGUUGUAAA